UACGUAGGGCGCAAGCGUUGUCCGGAAUUAUUGGGCGUAAAGAGCUCGUAGGCGGCUUGUCACGUCGAUUGUGAAAGCCCGGGGCUUAACUCCGGGUCUGCAGUCGAUACGGGCUAGCUAGAGUGCGGAAGGGGCAACUGGAAUUCUCGGUGUAGCGGUGAAAUGCGUAGAUAUCGAGAGGAACACCUGCGGCGAAGGCGGGUUGCUGGGCCGACACUGACGCUGAUGCGCGAAAGCCAGGGGAGCGAACGGG
rnacentral:rRNA from 1 species